UACGAAGGGGGCUAGCGUUGCUCGGAAUUACUGGGCGUAAAGGGAGCGUAGGCGGCCAUACAGGUCCGUUGUGAAAACUCGAGGCUCAACCUCGAGACGUCGAUGGAAACCGUAUGGCUAGAGUCCGGAAGAGGAGAGUGGAAUUCCUGGUGUAGCGGUGAAAUGCGCAGAUAUCAGGAAGAACACCCGUGGCGAAGGCGGCUCUCUGGGACGGUACUGACGCUGAGACGCGAAAGCGUGGGGAGCGAACAGG
rnacentral:rRNA from 1 species